rnacentral:lncRNA from 10 species
CGCUUCGGGACUGCAAUCCCAGCAUGCCCCGGUCUCAGGGGCGGGGCGCAGUUCUUGCGGGAGGAGCGGGGCGGUGCGCUCCUGGCCACGCAGGCUGGAAACUGUAGCUCUUAACGGUUCCCCGCCCGUUGGUGGCAAGGCGGCUGGACUAGAAUCCUAGCAGGCGAUAUGCGAGAAGGCGGGCAGCCCAAGAGGGUUGGGCAGGGCAGUGUGGAUCUCGCCGCUUCCACAGCGAUGCUGGCUACUGAUUUCGGACACCUCCUUGCCAUGGGAUGUGAGAAAACUGACACUUGGAGAGGUAGAGUAGCUUUAUUUACUUCACACAAGCUUUUGAUGAAUUUCAAGUCUCAACCUAGAAGUCUUCCUCUAAGGUUCGUGCUUUCACGCACCUGUAAUUCAAAUACUGAUGAAAACAAAACUAUUGCCCUCCUACCAAAUGGGAAAUUAAUGUUAUGACUGGAUAAGACAAUUGUGAAGAAACUGCACUUCGAGGUUGUCUGUCUCCGUAUUCCGAUGGAAAAGGCUGGACUUUAGAAGCAUUGCUCGCUCCUUCAGUUUCUAACAAGAGUUUUACAGUUUCUGAUUAAAUACCAAUGGGAUAUCACCUCCCAUCUCUUAGGAUGGCUGUUAUAAAAAGGACAAGAGAUAACAAGUGUUGGUGAUGGUGUGGAGAGAAGGGAACCUUUGUACACUGCUGGUUAAAAUGAAAUGAAAUCAGCAUCUGAUAGAGAUAUCUUCACUCCCCUCUUCUCCGUGCCCCACCACAGCAUUGCUCCCAACAGCCAAGCCAUGGGAUGAAGUUACUGUGCAUUGAUGGAUGAGUGGAGAAAAGAAAAUGUGGGGGAGGUGUUUGUGCAUGUAUGUGUGUGUGUGUAUAAUAUAUAAUAAUAUAAUAUUUUUCAGCUUUUAAGAAGUUGAAGAUACUGCCAUUUGUGAUAACAUAAAUGAAUCUGGAGGAUAUUAAGCUAAGUAAAAUAACUUAGGGAGAGAGAAAAAUACUGCAUAAUUUCUGUUACAUAUGAAAUCUUUAAAAAGGUUUAAUACAUAGAGACAUGAUAGAGUGAUGAUUUGGGGGAUAAGAGACACAAGUCAACGUUUCAGUUAUAUAAAAUAAAUGAAUCUAGAGGACUAAAGUACAAUUUAAAGGUUAUAGUUACUAUUUUUAUAUUAUAUACUAGUGAUUUUUGAACAGGGUAAACUUUAGGUGCUUUGACACCAAAAGGAAACUACAUGAGUUCAUGUAUAUGUUAAAUUGUUUGACCGCAGUCAUCAUUGAUAUGUAUAUGUAUAUAUAUAUAAUUAUGGGCUCAUUAAAUUUAAAUGCUAUAAAUAGGUAACAAAGAAUAAAGUUAAUUGAAAAACUGCAUCAUUAGACUUGAUUUUGCCUACAUGAAAAACUGAAACUGCCUCCUAAAUAUUAAUAUUUGUACAUCGCAUAAAGUUUAUAUGUUGGAAAUAUGUUUAAAGAAAAGGAAUUAUAAAUUUUAAUAAACACAGAAUGACACAGUAAAUGCAAAACAGUAGAAAGAGAUGAAAAUCUGAUUAAUCAGAGUGGUUAAUGCUUAGAUAUAAUUAAUGAUGUGUUAGGAGCAAUUUCAAGCCACUUCCACAUAGAUUUAAUACCAAAGAGUUUAUGUGUACACAGAGAUUAAAUAAAAAAAUACAUUUACAAUGAUAUUAAUUGAUAUUAAAAUGAUUAUGAAAUCAACUGUCUGCUAUAGAAAAAAUAGAGCAUUAAGUAACUAGCAGUAAGUUUGAAACUUUGUUAGAAAGUUAAUCAAGUGAAAAAGUGAUCAGCAUUUUUGAGCACUAAAUAGAGGAUGGACAAAAUUUUCUUUUCUUUCUUUCUUUUUUUUUUUUUUUUGAGAUCGAGUCUGUCUCUGUCGCCCAGGCUGGAGUACAGCGGCGCAAUCUUGAUCUCGGCUCACUGCAAGCUCUGCCUCCCGGGUUCACGCCAUUCUCCUGCAUUAGCCUCCUGAGUACCUGGGACUGCAGGCGCCCACAGCCAUCCCUGGCUAAUUUUUUGUAUUUUUAGUGGAGACGGGGUUUCACCGUGUUAGUCAAGAUGGUCACGAUCUCCUGAGCUCAUGAUCCACCUGCCUCAGCCUCUUAAAGUGCUGGGAUUACAGGCGUGAGCCACCGCACCUGGCCUAUAAUUUUCCAAUACCAAGAAAAUCAUUUGAUAUUGCAAGAUUUUAAACCUAAAUUAGUGUCUUUAACUUCACAAAGGUAGAAAUCCUAUAAGUAAUGUUUCUUGAACACUUUAAAAUGACAAUAAAAACUAAAGUGUAACCAACAAGUAACAUGUAGCCACAUGCAAAUUUCCUUUUAGAUUGUUUUAUUAUUUUUUUAACUUUAUGUGAAUUUUUAUUUUACUAGGUUUUUGGGGAACAGGUGGUGUUUGGUUAGAGGGAUAAGUUUUUAGUGGUGAUCUCUGAGAUGUUGGUGCAGUGUACACUGUACCCAAUGGGUAGCCUUUGAUCCCUAAGAUUGUUUUAAAUGACAUCUAGAUUAAAUAGAACAUUCAAACUGACAUUACUUUUACAGCACCAGAGAAAUGCUAAGGAGGAAGCUUUGUGACUGAAACCAAAAGACCUGAAUUUAUAUAUUUAAUUUUACUAAUUAACAUUCUUAAUUUUAUAGAAAAACAGCAAUUCUGCCCACAUGCAGGAGUUAUGCAUUAAAGUGGAGCAUGAUCACUUCAGACAUUUGUCCAAAACAUAAAAAUUCUUCCAAGUAUUAAGAAAAUAUUUAUACUUCACAGAUAUUGUUAGUGUAUAAUACAUGGGCAUUGAGAUGUUUCAAAUGAGAAAAAUUGAAAUUUCUCAUGGGGCAUUGUUCUACACAAAAUAUUUAUGUAAAAUUUUUUACUCAUAUAUGCAUGUGGACAUUUGAUGUUUUAGCACAGAAUAACAUAUUCUCAAAGGUCAUUUAAUGUAGUAAAUUAAAAAUCUUUAAAGUUUACAAGAAUUUUAAAACUGCCCAGCAGAACUGAUAGAAAAAUAUGGGAGCUUCCCAGGACCAGAAGUGAAUCAAGAGGCAAAUUCACAGGAGUCAUGAAAGUGAGAAGUUAGAGCUGCCUUCAGGUACAGCUCUGAUUGCAGGGCUGAUUACACAGACCUCAAGCCUGUGAAAAUCGUCCACUCUGCCCCUUGGAAUAUACAUACAGAGAAAAUUACUAACUGGGGCAUCCCAAAUGUGAGAUCUCUAUAAUGUAAGAACCAAAUUGCAAUUAUGAAGCACACAAAAGAAGCUACCCAAAAAAGGGAAAGAAAUUAUACAUCACGUAAACUUCACAGAUUGGAAACGUAUUUAAAAUAAGUAACACAAAUAGGGAAAGAGAAUAUCAAAAUAAUUUUGAAAACACAUGAAGUUCUAAAGCGGGCACUGGGGGCAGUGGCUCAUGCCUGUACUCCCAAGCACUUUGCGGUGGCCAAAGCAGGAGGAUCACUUGAGGCCAGGAGUUUGAGAUCAGCCUGGGCAACAAAGCAAAAGUUGUCUCUACAACAAAUAGAUAUAAAAAAAUAAGCCAGGCACAGUGGUGUGUGCUUGUACUGUCAGCUACUGGGGAGGUGGAGGUGAGAGGGUCUUUUGAGACUGGGAAUUUGAGGUUGCAGUGAGCUAUGACCACCACUGAACUCAAGCCUGGGUGACAGAGAUUCUUUCUCAAACACACACACACACACACACACACACACACACACACACACACACACACACUAAACAGGCAUGUUUUGCAAAGACUCAAACAGAAAUUGAACAACUGAAACUUAAAUAAAUUUAAUAUACAGUGUAUGGUUUAAUUAUUAAACCAAGUUAAUAACAACAGGAUUAGUGAACUAGAAUACUGAGAUGAGUAAAUAAAAGAACUACAGAAAAAUGAAAUGAUCACAAUACAAAAAUGAGUAUACAUGUACAAAGAAUAAAAUGAAAUGAAAUCAAAUACAUUGGUUUCACUAGCUUACAUAUAAAUAACAAAUCACAUUAAUAACAAAUAUUUAUAAAUUUCUGAAACUGAAUAUCAGAUGGGAACCCUUGAAUGCAGAAGUGUAUUGUGAUUAAUAGUGGCCUACCAAUAAAAAAUACUCAACAGAAAUAAAAGUCAAACUGCAUAACAGCAAAGAAAAGAAAAAAUUUUAAAGCCAUAAGAGAGAAAAGAAGAGAGAACCAAUGAAGGUGAGAGCAAAGUCUUCACAGCCCGUGUUCAGUCAGAAAACAGAGAAAUAAGUAAGAGUGCUGAGAUAAGUCACUGUUCAACCAAUAAUUAGAUACUUCACUAACAUAUUUUGAAUAAGUGAGGAUGCACUACAUGAUUUCCAAAAGUAAAAAAGUGGGAAAUCUUAUUACCAAUAUGAGCUUAUUAAGAAUACACUUCAAAAAGAAAAAAAAUUUAAAAUGGAGUUCAAGGAAUCAAAAUGAAAUGCAAGAAACUGCAAACAUAUUGGGCUAUCAAAUCAUGGUGGACAAUGAACAAAAGGAUCCAUCAAGUCUUUGGCAGCAUCAGUUUCCAAAUGAUUUACAUAAAAUAAAAGUGCUAAACUCUAUACAAUGUAAUGAAAUAAAUUAUCAAAUCCUCUGAUACUUGAAUAAUUUAACUGAUGUUAGAAUCUCCUUUUCAGAUAAUUAUUUUCAUGGAAAAAAAUAUACAAUACUUCUGUCUCAUCAUUUGCAGAAUAUCAAUUAUCCUUUUUUCAGAACUUAUUAGCACCAAAGGGCUCACAGUGGCAUAGGCCCUGGUCACAAGCCUCUGGACACCCAG